UAAUUUUCCACCAUGCGUAUGUGUGUGCGUGUAUCACAUCACAGAAAGUGCGAGACCGCGGCAGAGAGAGAGCGAUAGACAGUGUGUGGUGAUCUCCCCGAAUCUCAAGCCUCUUUUCCUGUUAUUUUAUUGCGAUUUAAAUACUUCACUUGUCUAAUGCAUGUAAUCUGACUAAUCAGUGCAGGAAAUUGCCCACAGUCUGUUUCUAAAGAGGAAACCGUUCUGUUUCGAACCUGCCACAGAGAGAGACAGGCUUCCGACGGAAAGCAGCGUGCACGAAGAACGAAGAUUGAGCGUGUGUGCGCGAUGACAGCAUGUCACCCAACCUACCCAUCUGGUUAAUUCUGCCAAGCAAAAGAUGAAACCGCACCAAAAAUACUGCAGAGAUUGAUUCAGUGCACGACUUUUGACAUGAACAACAAGAUAAGAGUGGUGUAUCUAUGGCCUCUAGCAGGGGAUAAGUGGGCCAUGCUAACCAGCUAAUCCCUGACCCCUACAGGUCAGCACAGUGAUGUCAUGAACUGAUUCCAGAUCAGAUGCAACUGGCUGUGGGAAGGACUGACUGCAGGUCAGCGUGGAAAAAUAGGAAGGUUCGGGGGAAUAAACUUAAACUGGUGCAAUCCCACAGACGUCCUGGACUUCAUGUCUCGGAAGUUUCCCGUGGAAGGAGCCACAUGUGCUGCUGAUUACAGCGCUGAAUGUUAGCGGCUGGUGCGUGUUUACAAUCACUUUUUGUGUCUUUAUAUCUAUUGGAUUUCUUUUGAUGUGUCACCUCUGCUUAUAAAAAUAUAAAAAAUAUGGACAAAUUUGCAACGAAGCAUUUUCACACAGAAUCAUCUAUAUAAGUGUUCACAUUUACGGAGAGUAGACGCGAUGUAGCAACUCUAAAGGCCUGUUCACACCAAAGAUGAUAACUAUAACAAUGAAGUUUUAAAAAUCAUUUUAAUUCUAAGAGAAUAGUGAAGUUCACGCUACAACAAUAACGUUGAUGACAAAGAGGAAGCUUUGACAACCAACCAGAAUCCACCAGAUUUUUUUUUUGUUUUUUUUUGUUUUAGAGUUUUAGCUUUUAAAGUGGCAGACGACAAAACUGCAGUUCACACUUAAAAUUAUAUCAUCUAUUGGUGUGGGUGCUAAUAUAGUUAUUGUUAUAGAUAUGUUUAUAUUUAUUGAUCUUGCUGUGAAUGGGCCUUAAUUGUCAAGUAUUGAAAAUUGUAAAAUGUUUUUGGUUUUAUUUAAUUUAAACUAAAUAUUUUUUAUAGUAUGUAGUAUGCUAGUAGUUAGCUAAAUACUUCUACGUAUUAGCUGCAUUUGGAAUAGCAUACUAGCAUACUAUACAGAAUAUUAUGGAAGUUUGUUUCUCCCACAGAAUUAAAAGAAAAGUAUUUGUCACUUUUUAUUUCACAAUUCAGAUUUUUUUCUCUCAAUUUUGAGUUUAUAUAUA